rnacentral:lncRNA from 1 species
ACAUCCUGGCUGGAAGCGGAAUAGUUCUCCUACGGGAGUCGAGGAGAGACGCGGCUGUGAUUUGGUCAUAGAUUCUUCUGUAUUAUGUAGUAUUUUAAGUGCGGUGAAGAAUUAUUUUUGCGUAGAAGUGUGGUGUAAGAAGUUUUUUCUUUUGCGUGGAAGUGUGUUGUAAGAAUUUUAAAUCUCCCUCUGGAACAAAUGCGGAGAAAUGUUCAAGGAAUUGCUCUGUUUGUACAUUGGUCAAGUUAAUAAUGAAAAGAAUUCCCUGCGUUGCUUUGGCUGGAUCUGUUCGGCUCCACAUAAAGACCCGCUGUGCUAUUUUCCUUCCCCUUAUGUGCAAACAUAAACCCCUGUGAGGAUGCAGUAAUUUAGCAGGCAGUCGACGACCAGAAGACUGCAGUCAUGUAACAGUUUCUGUGAGUUGAUUACUGGUGAGUUUACAUUCGUCUAAUUUGCAGAUUUCAAGGAAAAGGAGAAAGAAAGACGGCAGAAUUUUCUGGACGGUACAUGUCCAAACCAUAUCCACUUGCCCUUGUCUGUUUGCAGGGAGGUACAUGUGCAGGAGAAACAAGCGAAGAGGGUGUGGAGAAGAGGGGGCACAGCGUCUGGGGGUGAGAUAAUGAGCAGCAGCAGCAGCAGCUUGGCGUCCACCAUUUCUGCAGCAGCCACUGCUGCUCGUCCUCGCCAUGGCGCGGUGAAGCAGCAGCUGAGCGCUAGGGUGAAGCCACACCAGAAGCAUGCUGCAGGCUGCUGGGAGAGCAGUGGCAGCGGCAGCAGCAGGGCUGUGGUGGCGAGGGCUGGGCCCGGGCCGCUGACGGAGAUUGAGCCGGACCUGCAGGAGGACCCCAUCGACAAGUGGCGCACCAACGGCGUCCUCCCGGUCUGGAGCGAUUUCCUUGGUUUUCUUGUUCUUGCUGCUGUGUUGUCUGAGGAAUUGGGAUGACGCUGCAGUGAAAUUGUUUUGCAGGAGGACUUUGUGUAUGGAGUGUAUGACGGCCACCACACCUAUGAUGAAGGCCAAGGUCUCUUAUCUUGUGUAUUAUCUUGUAUACAGAACAAAUUAUAUGCAUGCGUUUCUUUAGCUAAAAGUUGUGCUGAUUCUAAUGUGAUGUGGUGAAACCAAUCAUUCAACUGAAGAAAAGAAGGGCUUCUGGGAGGAUGUCUCUGAGUGGUACCAAGAAGCUGAGCCUCCUCAGGGCUUCCAAGGUACACUCACUCAUGGUGCCUUUUGCUAUCUGGAAACAGUAUACAUGUCCUUGAAUCUUUCUCAUUAGCAUCAAUGGCAAUCUCUUGCAGCACUCAUCUCCUGGGCAUUCCCUCCCGCAGUCAUCCUCGGAAUGGCUUUCGAUGUGCCGGUACGGAUCGAGUAGUUCCAUUAACCCCUAUUCCUCCUAUUUACAUGCAUCAUCUAUCUGUCUUGGGCUUACUGAACGGAGGAAGACUCAUGGUCUAUUUGUGUCACUAGGGGGAGUACCUUUACAUUGGGGCAGCUAUCUUCAUCGUCGUGUUCUGCGUCAUCGAGAUGGACAAGCCGGACAAACCGCACAACUUUGAGCCGGAGAUCUACAUGAUGGAGAGGUCCAAGCGCGACAAGCUCAUCGCGGACUACAACUCCAUGGACAUCUGGGACUUCAACGAGAAGUACGGCGAGCUCUGGGACUUCACCGUCAACAGAGAUGACCUCAUCCAACCAUAGGUGCCAUUCAGAAAUGGUGGUCGCGUUGGCUAGAUUCAGAAAUGGAGGCCAGUUCAGAUGACAUGUAUGAUAGUGAUAUAAGCACUCUCUAAGGAAAUCAGGGAUGGCAUAGCUCCAAGAAAAGGAUCUUCAAAUAAAGCAUCCUUGUAAAAAAUGCAGAGCAAAUUGUCAGAAAACACUAUGCUACUAAGGAUGGCAAAUGUCUAAAAUUGUAGAGAUAUAUAAAGUUGCCUGUUUGGCACUACCCUCUCGAUGUUACAAAAGUCUAGCAAAAAAGAAUUGUCAUUCUUUUUUGUACAAGUUGAAACCCUAUGUCGAAUAACGAAGAAAAUAAACCAAGGGUGAAAAGGGAAGCCUAACAGCUCCUCCUUUUUUGUACACUUGAGUUGCACAGCUGAUGAUGAGCUGGCUCGCUAUGACAAGAAACUAAUGGGGCAAAAUUGGAGCUAGAAUAGCUAAUCUAUAACCCUGAAAGAGGAAACUAGCUUAGCCUUUGAAAUGCUAUAACUUUCCAUUCUUCUUCAUCUUGAUGAUGUGAAGAGUUGGCUGCCUAGGGUCACAGUUGUGUCGCCCACUGGCAUGGCUGUCGUCCUCCUGAUCUCCUGCUCGCGUAUCCGGUGUAUCUCGGCUUCCACCAGGCUCAUCGACGGACGAUCCUCGCUUGUCGGGUUCACGCACCGCGAUGCCAAGCGCAACAAUUCCUUCAUGCCUUGUGGGGUAAAGCCACUGGUCAUUCUCCUAUCUGCUAUUGCAGAGAUUUCACUUGAUUCUUGAAAGUUCCGAACCUGCAUAUCAGAGAUGGAUAGUAAGCAAACUGAAACCUUGGCUCUGGUAUGAUGAUAGAUAUUAUGAGAAUAAUAUGGAAAAGAGGAAUUGAACAAUCAUCAGGAAUCGGUAGAAUUUACCCAUUCAAUAAUGCCUUGAUCAGACGCAGCCGUCCUUCCACUGAUCAACUCCACAAGGAACACACCAAAACUGUAUACAUCACUUUGUAUGGAAAAAAUCAUGGACUCCUUCCCCCUGGUCAUGCAACAAAUCUCCAUUAAAAACAGACACGGGAUGCCGAUAAAUUUGCUACUAUCACAGGCAGCACACUGAAAGCAUAUAGUUUGUACUAUUCACUAAUGGAAGUCAAGGGAUGUAAUUAACAACUUUUAAGUUUUAACCCCCCCAAAGAAGAAGCUCAGUCAUUACCGAGGAUCAACGAAUGGAUCAUUGAAUAUCAUCGAAGGCGGGCCAGCAUUGCCUAGUCGAUCAAGUAGGCCUCGGAUGCCAGUAUCAGCAACUUUUGGUAAGAAAUCCGCAUCCACCAGGACAUUAGCAGUUUUGAAGUUCAUGUGAACAGCAGGAGGGGUCAUGGAAUGCAGGUGACUCAGGCCUGAGUAACAGUAACAGGAAAGGUCAUUAUAUUAAGAUUCAUUGCAUAACUAUUGUGACUGAAAAUGAGGCAAUCCAUAAGAGAAUAAGCUUCUGCCAAUAAAGGAAAUUAGGAGUUGGUGCCGAUGUAUACUUACCCUUAGCGGUUCCAUGAGCAAUAGCAAGUCUCUGCUUGAAUUCUAGCCUCACAGUUGGAGAAUUGCCGUUGCCUGUAGAGGGAUGGCAGAAAGAUAGAUAAAAUUAGCACUUCUGAUGCUCUUCUUGUACAUCAGAACUAUAAAUAGGAAAUACACAAUGGAAAAAUCACCAUGCAAAUGCGCAGAAAUGCUGCCAUUGGGGACAUACUGAUAAACAAGCAUCUGCAUGCCAUUGUCCUGGCAAUACCCCAAGAGAUUUACAAGGUUGGGAUGACGACGGAUAGACGACAGGUAAUUAACCUGGGGAGAAAAGGCCAACAACAACCAUGAGUUCAUGUAUUGGUUUUGAUCUCAGGAAGCAAGGUUUUGAUUUCUUACAACAUGCCACUACUCUAGGAGAAAAUUUUGGCACCUCAUGGAGAAAUUCCUGGCUAGGAGGAGAAUGCCGCCUUUUAACCGCUAUAAUUGUGCCAUCCUGGAGCAAACCGUUGUAUACCUCUCCGAACAUUCCAUGUCCGACGAGAUUCGAGCUGCUGAAGUUAUUUGUAGCAGACCUUAGUUCCUCCAGUGUCAUACAUCUUGCUCCUUGCAUGUCUAGAGUACAUAAUAAAAGCAGUCUGUUAAGCUAAAAUGCUAAUUUGACACUAGCUGAAAAACACUGAAAUUAAAAGCCCCUCGAAUACUAAUUUGAGCGGUACCUGGAAGAGCUUGACCGGACGAAUUACUCUCUGAAGAAUCUGAAUUCCGUCUGCCGUGCCGUAGGCAUAGCACUACAAUGAGUGUGAUGGCACCAACUAAUGCCAAACCUCCUGCAGCUCCUCCUAGAGCUACUGCAAGAAUGUCUGACAUCUAGUAUGCAAUCUCCUCCUUCAGAAUAGGAUAGUAACUUUUGUAGCAGCGGCGAUGCAGACAGAUAUAACCUAAAUAUUAGUACAUUUUAAUUUUUCUGGACUUAACAUUGAAGUAGCAAUAACAGUAACCGACAGAUUGCUGAAUCGACAGCGCAGCAAUACAAAGCAAACUAAACAGUUGCAGAAUACAAAAUGGAGCAUAUGUGCCAUAUAUGGAUGGACCGGUUAAAUGAGAGAUGAAUGUGAGCAGUUGUAAACUAGGAAAGCGCAUUCCGCCAAUGACGUAAGCAGCACGGGCCAAGCAAUUAUUAGUGCAUAAAACAGAGAAAGGACAACUAAGUUAUCUUUUGUUUUGCGGGGGACAACUAAGUUAUCAGAUGGAACAAUGCAAACAUGUUGACAUUCAGAACUGAAUAUUGAGUGGCCUGGCAGUUCGCUCAUUUUUGCCAUUUAUCGCAUUCCUUUUAUUUCCUAGAUAACGUGCACGACCGUUGCAAUAUUAAGAAAUUCCGCGCCAUCAGAGGACUUCCGGGCUAUAACACGUACUAAAUUCUCAUGCAAUACAAUGAGCCUCGUGAAUUCUCAUACAAUUGCGUGGUGUUGCGUCUUGCGCCUUUUGCCUUUUAUUUCCCAGACCAUUGCAAUAUUCAAAUAUUUCGCGCCAUGACUAUUACUAAUAAAAUUCCCAUGGUAUGCAAAGAGCCUCUCAAAUACAAUAAUCUGUGCUGCAUAUUCUUCUAUUUGGUUGACAAUGCAUGAUCAUAUACAGACACAAAAAAAAAGUCCACUACAGCACUAUAUAUAACAGGAACGCUUCGUCGCCCAUACAAAAGGUUUUGCGAAAGCUUCCUCUGUAGUAGUGCUUGCAAACCACCAAUGUCCAAUGCCUUUAACAAUCCCCAGUUGUACUACAUGUUAAAUCGAAAUUUAAUAAAAGAAGAAUGCAGAAUUCUUCAACUUUUGUUAUCUAACAGUAUGGCAUUGGCCUUAUGGGCGCUGAAGGAAAUCAUGCAGUAGGACAAGAAUUGCUCCUAGUAUGAAAAAAAAACAGAAGCACAACUGUUGCUCCAUAUGUACGUGCUACAGUACAUAAAUAAGAAUAACAAGCACGCAGUAUGAUCUAUAACAAAUAAGCUAUAUCAACAAAUUCCACAGCAAUCAUGCAGAUAAUAUCUAUCUUAUCCCCAGAGCACACAUCAAGCCCAUCUGAUCCUGGUGCAAGAAAGGAGCAGGAGCAUGCAAAGACUAUCAAUCACCCAGAGUAGAGAGAAUGUCCGAAGAAUCCAUGGCAUACAUACCUGAAGAUUGACGAGGUCUCCCGGCGUCAUCUCCCUCCAGGCACAAGAGCAGGAUCAAACGCUGAAGCCAUAUCGCAAGACUUUUAUCCCCUUCUUCUCCCUCCUUGUCCCUAUCCUGCCAUCAACAACAAAGGACAAAAUUCCUGCUUGGUUCAUGGCAAGAGAAAAGAAAUCAACAGAGGAGAAAACCAAAAUCAAGCAUGAAAAAUGUGCAAGGAACAUUCAGAUCACUGUCACGGAAGAUCAGAAGAAGCAUGUUUGAUUAGCAGAAACAUCAUCUUGGAAGAUGAGAAGAAACAUUUGCAGGGAGAGCAGGGUGGCAAGAAUCCACGCAUGAGAAAAACAGGGGAGGUGGAGAAACAGGGGAGGCAGGAAACUCACCUGUGGCUUCUUCUUCUUCCUCCUCCUGCUCAGGUGCCUAUGAUUGGGAAGAUUGGGGAGGGGGGAGGGGUUUGGGGGAGGACGGGGGAGGGGAGAGGGGACAGGAGAGCCAGCACAGCCAGCCAACACCAGCGGGAGGGAACCAGCAGGCCAAGUAUAUAUAAUGGUCUGCGAGAGGCGCCGCAUCAAAAUGUGCCUAGGAAAAACGUGAGCCGCCCGCCGCUUGUAUUGGCAUUGCAGGCAGCGAGAAAUUUACUUACUGCCUAAAAAGGAUUCUGUAAGCGGGGCUGAGCAGGUCCGCCAUGGUCCAUGCUGACGUCGCAUAAGCUGCCACUGCUCUUAAUCCCUCCUUAAUUAGCAAGAUCGCCUCUGCUGAGAGAGAAAAGAAUGAGAGGGAUGGAGGCAUCUCCCAGCGCAGGCCCAAUGAUUGCCCCCAAAGGCGAGGCGACAGUUCGUGGGGAUCGCGACACGACACCGCGCCGACGACGGGCGGCGACGCGGCCACCCAUUCUCCCGAUUCGUUGUUUUGUUCCUUUUUCCAGCAUAUUUUACUAUUGGGCAAUUCGUUGCAUCGUAUCGUGUUGUUAAAUUAUUGUAUCAUCCGAUGAAUGGAACGGAUGAAUCUUUCUGUCGAUCGGUCGAGCUUAACAAGAAAUGGCGUAGAAGGCGUCAAUGAUUGCUGGGAAGGCGCGGAGCAGAGUAGCAUGAGCGGGCCGAGCUGGAAGACAGCACAGGCGGACAGCAGCUGCACACCUCCUCACACUCACAGGCACCAGAGCAGAAAAGCUGCACACGCCCUUCUUCUUUCCUGGCCUGACGGACGCACGGAGGCCUUGUCACUUGUCACCUAGUGCUAGCAGUAGCUAGCCCCAGACCAGAAAGCAUACGCUUCGGAACUCGGAGUGAAUGAAUGAGCAAAUAUUGCUAAAUCUUUUUUAAACCAAUUCUUUGAUCCGCUUGUACAUUACUCCCUCCGUUCCUAAAUACAGUAUAAUCUUUCUAUAGAUUCUAUGAUGUACUGUAUAUAGACAUACUUUAGAGUGUGUAUUCAUUCAUUUUACUUCAUAUGUCGUAGUCUUUAUUGAAAUUUCUAAAAGACUUAUAUUUAGAAACGGAGGAAGUAUAUUUUAGUCUGCUCUACGUGCAUGCAUGCGCUACAGUUGUACUGCCUGCCUAGCUCGCGUCGAUCCAAGUAAGAUCCAAGCGAUACGGAUCGCCGCUGUGACACUUGCAUCCAUCCAUCCAUCCAUCCAUGGCGUUUUGCUGCAGGCUCCUCCCUCCGGAGUGGACUGGAGUGGAGUGGGCCGCCGCUGUGACCAGUGAGCUGUACGCGGCCAUCGCCGUCACCAUGCGUUUCUUUCUUCGCCUCCAUCCCUACCACUCCCUACCAACAUUUUUACCCCUCACUGCCAUCUCAUGGAAAUGGAGUAUUUUUUUUACCUUUUAAAAAUCAUUACUACUAUUACUAUACGUAGGUACCGCUGCUACACUGCUCACAAGCAUGCAUGCAUGCAGAGGAUUAUUUCGCAGUCCCCAAAUGCCAAUUUGUUCCUGCCAACUUUUUUUUUGGUCCGGGUUCUUUUGUGAGUCGCUUUAAGUUGGGGUUUUGAGACAAAUGGAUGGAUGGAGCCGGGCGCUCUCUCUCAUGGAAUGGAAUGCCUGCCCAUCCUUGUGAGCUGUACAUGAUGGACAGCUGAAAAGCCUGAAACGAAUGGAAGAUGCCAAAGGCAGAGGGGAAGGGGACCCAGAUUUCUCCCGACAGAUGGAGGGAGGGAAGGGCGAUUGGAUUGCAUGCAUGACAGCCUUGCGCUGUCCCAUCCUUGCUCCUCUCUUCCAUGCAUAUAACAUGCACUUGAUUUUGCUUCUUAGCCUUAAUUUAGAAUGUUCUUAAAGGCCUUACAUGAACACCCUUGGUACAAGUAAAAAUUAUGGAGAAAUUCGUUGCCGUCUCCGACCUGCAGAAAGAUAUCAAGCUGAUCUAAAUGCUUUCGUGUUGAUUCACCUGACUAUUUCUUCGCGCUCUCGAGGUUCGUUGGAUCGGCCGGACUCCCUUCAUUUGAAAGCUAGUGUAAAUCAUCAAAGAUUUUCAGGAUUUGUCUUUCACCAAGAAUUUAUUCGAAAUACAAUAUGUCAGUUCCAAUAUGCUCCCUCCGUCCCAAAAUUCUUGUCUUAGAUUUGUCUAGAUACGGAUGUAUCUAAUACUAAAACGUGAGUUGAUACAUUCGUAUUUAGACAAAUUUAAGACAAAAAUUUUGGGACGGAGGGAGUACAUAUUAACAUCGCUGGACGCUUUACUAUUCGAAAACAAUAUACCAACAAGUUGUUGCAUAUCCAAAAGAUUUUGUGUUGAUGCACUUGACUAUUUGUUUGUGCUUUACCGCUUCCCUUCGUCUGCAAGCUAGUAAAAGGCGUAAGAGAUUUCCAAGAUUUUUUUUUUGCGGGUAGAGAUUUCCAAGAUUUAUUGUUUAAGGAGGAUUCAUUCGAUAUAUACGUGAGUUACAAGAUACGUAUUAAUAUCGCUGGACUCGUUUUUAAUAUUCGGAAACAGUAGACCAACAAGAUGUUGCAUAUCCAAAAGAUUUUGUGUUGAUACACAUGACUUUUUUUGUGUGGGUAAACUUGACUAUUUCUUUUUGCUUUCGACUCUCGAUCGUACUCCCUUCGCAAGGAAGCUAGUAGUAGUAAUGAAGAGUCGUAAGAGGUUCCCAAGAUUUAUCAUUUACCAAGAAUUUAUUUGGGUUAUACGUGAGUUACAAGAUACGUAUUAAUAUUGGUGGAUAUGUCGCUAUUAAACACAAUAUUUGGUGGCAUUGAUUUUGUAUCACAAAAUCUAUUUUUUUUGCGGGUCACAAAAUCUAUGUAUAGCACUAAUGAAUUAAUGGCCAAAAACAAAAUCUUUGAAAGCGCGUAUGAGUCACAUUUCUAGAUCGAAUACUGAGUUAUACGGUAUUAAUUCCGUACCAAAUAAUAUAUUUAGCCAUAAUAACAUAAUAUAUAGUGUACUAAUGAAUGGCCAAAAUGAAAUCUUCACAUUUACAUUUCCGUACAGAAAAACAAAAGGCGUAGACGUAGUGGUGGGGAGUGUUGGUGACUCGUAUANNNNNNNNNNNNNNNNNNNNNNNNNNNNNNNNNNNNNNNNNNNNNNNNNNNNNNNNNNNNNNNNNNNNNNNNNNNNNNNNNNNNNNNNNNNNNNNNNNNNNNNNNNNNNNNNNNNNNNNNNNNNNNNNNNNNNNNNNNNNNNNNNNNNNNNNNNNNNNNNNNNNNNNNNNNNNNNNNNNNNNNNNNNNNNNNNNNNNNNNNNNNNNNNNNNNNNNNNNNNNNNNNNNNNNNNNNNNNNNNNNNNNNNNNNNNNNNNNNNNNNNNNNNNNNNNNNNNNNNNNNNNNNNNNNNCGGCCGGCUGUUGGCGCUCCCGUGCACGACAUUUCCCUCACGUACGUGCUGUACUUGUUUGGACGGUUCAUGCAUGCAUGACCCUGCUAGCUAGCUUCGGGCCGGUCGGUCAGAAGUUUAUCUGCACUGCAUCAGCAGCUUUGUUCCUACCGUACCUACCUACCUAAGGGUACGUCGUCAUGCAUGCGUGCAGUGUUGGGUGCGAGUGCAACACAGCUAAGCUAAACUUCUCUUUCGAGAGUGAUAGAUAGAGUUGAGUUUAUCUUCGCGGACGGAUGGAUGCCACAUGUAUAUGCGUGUCUGUAUGCGUUGGGUACGUGGCCCGUGUGUCCGGGUUAGUACUACGUAGGCAGGCACGUAGCUUAGGCCAACUCCAACGCAGACCCAAACGGGCGCGGACAUUUGUCCGUUUGGGGUGUGAAAUGGGCGGCGACCAGGGGCGGACGGUCGGGCGACGCAUCUGCGUCCAACACACAGGAGAGGCCCCAACCGCCAAACACACGCGAACUCCAUCCGGCAGCUCCGACAGACAGAUGCCGUGCCUCGGAGGUGAGGUGCGGGGAGGAGGAGGACGGCGGCGGGCGACUGGCGCGGCCUCAACGAGGAGCGUGGGAGGGACGGGCUCCUCCGCCUCCCUGCAGCGUCGCCCUGGCAGCAGGCACGUGCCAGCAUCAGGAGGGCGACGACGCAGACGCAUUUGCUCGCGGCGCACUACCGGAAUCGCACCCUAUGCCGACGGCCAGGCCCUGACUGGCCGUCGGGACAGGCUUAUGCCGACGGCCCCCGUCGGCAUAGGGCUGUCGGUGUUGGGGAACGUAGUAAUUUCAAAAAAUUUCCUACGCACACGCAAGAUCAUGGUGAUGCAUAGCAACGAGAGGGGAGAGUGUUGUCCACGUACCCUCGUAGACCGACAGCGGAAGCGUUAUCACAACGCGGUUGAUGUAGUCGUACGUCUUCACGAUCCGACCGAUCAAGUACCGAACGUACCGCACCUCCGAGUUCUACACACGUUCAGCUCGAUGACGUCCCUCGAACUCCGAUCCAGCCGAGUGUUGAGGGAGAGUUUCGUCAGCACGACGGCGUGGUGACGAUGGUGAUGUUCCACCGACGCAGGGCUUCGCCUAAGCUCCGCAACGGUAUUAUCGAGGUGUAAUAUGGUGGAGGGGGGCACCGCACAUGGCUAAGAGAUCUCAAGGAUCAAUUGUUGUGUCUCUGGGGUGCCCCUGCCCCCGUAUAUAAAGGAGUAAGGGAGGAGGAGGCCGGCCCUAGGAGGGGGCGCACCAAGUGUGGAGUCCUACUAGGACUCCCUAGUCCUAGUAGGAUUCCACCUCCCAUAUGGAAUAGGAAAAGAGGAAGGGAAAAAGAGAAGGAAGGAAGGGAGCGCCCCCCUUCCCUAGUCCAAUUCGGACCAGACCAAGGGGAGGGGUGCGGCCACCCUUGAGGCCCUUUUCCUUCUUUCCCGUAUGGCCCAAUAAGGCCCAAUACGUAUUCCCGUAACUCUCCGGUACUCCGAAAAAUACCCGAAUCACUCGGAACCUUUCCGAAGUCCGAAUAUAGUCGUCCAAUAUAUCGAUCUUUACGUCUCGACCAUUUCGAGACUCCUCGUCAUGUCCCCGAUCUCAUCCGGGACUCCGAACUCCUUCGGUACAUCAAAACUCAAUAAAACUGUCUUCAUAACGUUAAGCGUGCGGACCCUACGGGUUCGAGAACUAUGUAGACAUGACCGAGACACGUCUCCGGUCAAUAACCAAUAGCGGGACCUGGAUGCCCAUAUUGGCUCCCACAUAUUCUACGAAGAUCUUUAUCGGUCAGACCGCAUAACAACAUACGUUGUUCCCUUUGUCACCGGUAUGUUACUUGCCCGAGAUUUGAUCGUCGGUAUCUCGAUACCUAGUUCAAUCUCGUUACCGGCAAGUCUCUUUACUCGUUCCGUAACACAUCGUCCCGCAACUAACUCAUUAGUCACAAUGCUUGCAAGGCUUAUAGUGAUGUGCAUUACCGAGUGGGCCCAGAGAUACCUCUCCGACAAUUGGAGUGACAAAUCCUAAUCUCGAAAUACGCCAACCCAACAAGUACCUUUGGAGACACCUGUAGAGCACCUUUAUAAUCACCCAUUUACGUUGUGACGUUUGGUAGCACACAAAGUGUUCCUCCGGUAAACGGGAGUUGCAUAAUCUCAUAGUCAUAGGAACAUGUAUAAGUCAUGAAGAAAGCAAUAGCAACAUACUAAACGAUCGAGUGCUAAGCUAACGGAAUGGGUCAAGUCAAUCACGUCAUUCUCCUAAUGAGGUGAUCUCGUUAAUCAAAUGACAACUUAUGUCUAUGGCUAGGAAACAUAACCAUCUUCGAUUAAUGAGCUAGUCAAGUACAGGCAUACUAGUGACACUCUGUUUGUCUAUAUAUUCACACAUGUAUUAUGUUUCCGGUUAAUACAAUUCUAGCAUGAAUAAUAAACAUUUAUCAUGAUAUAAGGAAAUAUAUAAUACUUUAUUAUUGCCUCUAGGGCAUAUUUCCUUCAGUCUCCCACUUGCACUAGAGUCAAUAAUCUAGUUCACAUCGCCAUGUGAUUUAACAUCAAUAAUUCACAUCACCAUGUGAUUAACACCCAUAGUUCACAUCUCUAUGUGACUAACACUCAAAGGGUUUACUAGAGUCAAUAAUCUAGUUCACAUCGCUAUGUGAUUAACACCCAAAGAGUACUAAGGUGUGAUCAUGUUUUGAUUGUGAGAUAAUUUUAGUCAAGGGGUCUGUCACAUUCAGAUCCGUAAGUAUUUUGCAAAUCUCUAUGUCUACAAUGCUCUGCACGGAGCUACUCUAGCUAAUUGCUCCCACUUUCAAUAUGUAUCUAGACCGAGACUUUAGAGUCAUCUAGAUUAGUGUCAAAACUUGCAUCGACGUAACCCUUUACGACGAACGUUUUGUCACUUCCAUAAUCGAGAAACAUUUCCUUAUUCCACUAAGGAUAAUUUUGACCGCUGUCCAGUGAUCUACUCCUAGAUCACUAUUGUACUCCCUUGCCAAAAUUAGUGUAGGGUAUACAAUACAUUUGGUACACAUCAUGGCAUACUUUAUAGAACCUAUGGCCAAGGCAUAGAAAAUGACUUUCAUUCCCGUUCUAUCUUUUGCCGUGGUCGGGCUUUGAGUCUUACUCAAUUUCAUACCUUGUAACACAGGCAAGAACUCUUUCUUUGACUGUUGUAUUUUGAACUACUUCAAAAUCUUGUUAAGGUAUGUACUCAUUGAAAAAACUUAUCAAGCGUCUUGAUCUAUCUCUAUAGAUCUUGAUGCUCAAUAUGUAAGCAGCUUCACCGAGGUCUUUCUUUGAAAAACUCCUUUCAAACACUCCUUUAUGCUUUGCAGAAUAAUUCUACAUUAUUUCCGAUCAACAAUAUGUCAUUCACAUAUACUUAUCAGAAAUGCUGUAGUGCUCCCACUCACUUUCUUGUAAAUACAGGCUUCACCGCAAGUCUGUAUAUAUCCUUUGAUCAACUUAUCAAAGUGUAUAUUCCAACUCCGAGAUGCUUGCACCAGUCCAUAGAUGGAUCGCUGGAGCUUGCAUAUUUUGUGAGCACCUUUAGGAUUGACAGAACCUUCUGGUUGCAUCAUAUACAACUCUUCUUUAAUAAAUCCAUUAAGGAAUGCAGUUUUGUUUAUCCAUUUGCCAGAUUUCAUAAAAUGCGGCAAUUGCUAACAUGAUUCGGACAGACUUUAAGCAUAGAUACGAGUGAGAAACUCUCAUCGUAGUCAACACCUUGAACUUAUCGAAAACCUUUUUGCGACAAUUCUAGCUUUGUAGACAGUAACACUACUAUCACUGUCUGUCUUCCUCUUGAAGAUCCAUUUAAUCUCAAUGGCUCGCCGAUCAUUGGGCAAGUCAACCAAAGUCCAUACUUUGUUCUUCAUUCAUGGAUCUCAUCUCAGAUUUCAUGGCCUCAAGCCAUUUCCCGGAAUCUGGGCUCAUCAUCGCUUCCUCAUAGUUCGUAGGUUCGUCAUGGUCAAAUAACAUGACCUCCAGAACAGGAUUACCGUACCACUCUGGUGUGGAUCUCACUCUGGUUUACCUACGAGGUUUGGUAGUAACUUGAUCUGAAGUUACAUGAUCAUCAUCAUUAACUUCCUCACUAAUUGGUGCAGGAGUCACAGGAACAGAUUUCUGUGAUGAACUACUUUCCAAUAAGGGAGCAGGUACAGUUACCUCAUCAAGUUCUACUUUCCUCCCACUCACUUCUUUCGAGAGAAACUCCUUCUCUAGAAAGGAUCCAUUUUUAGCAACGAAUGUCUUGCCUUCGGAUCUGUGAUAGAAGGUGUACCCAACUGUCUCCUUUGGGUAUCCUAUGAAGACACAUUUCUCCGAUUUGGGUUUGAGCUUAUCAGGAUGAAACUUUUUCACAUAAGCAUCGCAACCUCAAAAUUUUAAGAAACGACAACUUUGGUUUCUUGCUAAACCUCAGUUCAUAAGGCGUCGUCUCAACGGAUUUGAUGGUGCCCUAUUUAACGUGAAUGCAGCUGUCUCUAAUGCAUAACCCCAAAACUAUAGUGGUAAAUCGGUAAGAAACAUCAUAGAUUGCACUAUAUCCAAUAAAGUACGGUUAUGACGUUCGGACACACCAUUACACCGUGGUGUUCCAGGUGGCGUGAGUAGUGAAACUAUUUCACUUUGUUUUAACUGAAGGCCAAACUCGUAACUCAAAUAUUUUACCUCUGCGAUCAUAUCGUAGAAACUUUUAUUUUCUUGUUACGAUGAUUCUCCACUUCACUCUGAAAUUCUUUGAACUUUUCAAAUAUUUCAGACUUGUGUUUCAUCAAGUAGAUAUACCCAUAUCUGCUCAAAUCAUCUGUGAAGGUCAGAAAAUAAUGAUACCUGCUACGAGCCUCAAUAUUCAUCGGACCACAUACAUCUGUAUGUAUGAUUUCCAACAAAUCUGUUGCUCUCUCCAUAGUUCCGGAGAACAGCGUUUUAGUCAUCUUGCCCAUGAGGCACGGUUCGCAAGCAUCAAGUGAUUCAUAAUCAAGUGAUUCCAAAAUCCCAUCAGUAUGGAGUUUCUUCAUGCGCUUUACACCAAUAUGACCUAAACGGCAGUGCCACAAAUAAGUUGCACUAUCAUUAUUAACUUUGCAUCUUUUGGCUUCAAUAUUAUGAUUAUGUGUAUCACUACGAUCUAGAUCCAACAAACCAUUUUCGUUGGUGUGUAUGACCAUAGAAGGUUUUUAUUCAUGUAAACUGAACAACAAUUGUUCUCUAACUUAAAUGAAUAACCGUAUUGCAAUAAACAUGAUCAAAUCAUAUUCAUGCUCAACGCAAACACCAAAUAACACUUAUUUAGUUUCAACACUAAUCCCGAAAGUAUAGGGAGUGUGCGAUGAUGAUCAUAUCAAUCUUGGAACUACUUCCAACACACAUCGUCACCUCAUCUUUUACUAGUCUCUGUUUAUUCUGCUACUCCCGUUUUCGAGUUACUACUCUUUAGCAACUGAACCAGUAUCAAAUACUGAGGGGUUGCUAUAAACACUAGUAAGUACACAUCAAUAACAUGUAUAUCCAAUAUACCUUUGUUCACUUUGCCAUCUUUCUUAUCCACCAAAUACUUGGGGUAGUUCCGCUUCCAGUGACCAGUCCCUUUGCAGUAGAAGUACUUAGUCUCAGGCUUAGGUACAGACUGGGGCUUCUUCACUUGAGUAGCAACUUGCUUGCCGUUCUUUUGAAGUUCCCCUUCUUCCCUUUGCCCUUUUCUUGAAACUAGUGGUCUUGUCAACCAUCAACACUUGAAGUGGUCUCGUCAACCAUCAACACUUGAUGUUUUUCUUGAUUUCUACCUUCGUCGAUUUCAGCAUCACGAAGAGCUCGGGAAUUACUUUCGUCAUCCCUUGCAUACUAUAGUUCAUCACGAAGUUCUACUAACUUGGUGAUGGUGACUAGAGAAUUCUGUCAAUCACUAUUUUAUCUGGAAGAUUAACUCCCACUUGAUUCAAGCGAUUGUAGUACCCAGACAAUCUGAGCACAUGCUCACUAGUUGAGCGAUUCUCCUCCAUCUUUUAGCUAUAGAACUUGUUGGAGACUUCAUAUCUCUCAACUCGGGUAUUUGCUUGAAAUAUUAACUUCAACUCCUGGAACAUCUUAUAUGGUCCAUGACGUUCAAAACGUCUUUGAAGUCCCGAUUCUAAGCCGUUAAGCAUGGUGCACUAAACUUUCAAGUAGUCAUCAUAUUGAGCUAGCCAAACGUUCAUAACAUCUGCAUCUGCUCCUGCAAUAGGUCUGUCACCUAGCGGUGCAUCAAGGACAUAAUUUUUUCUGUGCAACAAUGAGUAUAAUCCUCAGAUCACGGAUCCAAUCCGCAUCUUUGCUACUAACAUCUUUCAACAUAAUUUUUCUCUAGGAACAUAUCAAAAAUAAACACAGGGAAGCAACAACGCGAGCUAUUGAUCUACAACAUAAUUUGCAAAAUACUAUCAGGACUAAGUUCAUGAUAAAUUUAAGUUCAAUUAAUCAUAUUACUUAAGAACUCCCACUUAGAUAGACAUCCCUCUAAUCAUCUAAGUGAUUACGUGAUCCAAAGCAACUAAACCAUGUCCGAUUAACACGUGAGAUGGAGUUGUUUCAAUGGUGAACAUCACUAUGUUGAUUAUAUCUACUAUAUGAUUCACGCUCGACCUUUCGGUCUCUGUGUUCCGAGGCCAUAUCUGUAUAUGCUAGGCUCGUCAAGUUUAACCUGAGUAUUCCGCGUGUGCAACUGUUUUGCACCCGUUGUAUUUGAACGUAGAGCCUAUCACACCCGAUUAACACGUGGUGUCUCAGCACGAAGAACUUUUGCAACGGUGCAUACUCAGGGAGAACACUUUUGUCUUGAAAUUUUAGUGAGAGAUCAUCUUAUAAUGCUACCGUCAGUCAAAGCAAGAUAAGAUGCAUAAAGGAUUAACAUCACAUGCAAUCAAUAUAAGUGAUAUGAUAUGGCCAUCAUCAUCUUGUGCUUGUGAUCUCCAACUCCGAAGCACCGUGCUCGUGAUCUCCAUCUCCGAAGCACCGUCAUGAUCACCAUCGUCACCGGCUCGACACCUUGAUCUCCAUCGUAGUAUCGUCGUCGUCUCGCCAACUUAUUGCUUUUACGACUAUCGCUACCGCUUAGUGAUAAAGUAAAACUAUUACAUGGCGAUUGCAUCUCAUACAAUAAAGCGACAACCAUAUGGCUCGUGCCAGUUGCCGAUAACUCGGUUACAAAACAUGAUCAUCUCAUACAACACAUUAUAUCACAUCAUGUCUUGACCAUAUCACAUCACAACAUGCCCUGCAAAAACAAGUUAGACGUCCUCUACUUUGUUGUUGCAUGUUUUACGUGGCUGCUAUGGCCUUAGCAAGAACCGUUCUUACCUACGCAUCAAAACCACAACGAUAGUUUGUCAAGUUGGUGCUGUUUUAACCUUCGCAAGGACCGGGCGUAGCCACACUCGGUUCAACUAAAGUGAGAGAGACAGACACCCGCCAGUCACCUUUAAGCAACGAGUGCUCCGAACGGUGAAACCAGUCUCGCGUAAGCGUACGCGUAAUGUCGGUCCGGGCCGCUUCAUCUCACAAUACCGCUGAACCAAAGUAUGACAUGCUGGUAAGCAGUAUGACUUAUAUCGCCCACAACUCACUUGUGUUCUACUCGUGCAUAGCAUCAACGCAUAAAACCAGGCUCGGAUGCCACUGUUGGGGAACGUAGUAAUUUCAAAAAAAUUCCUACGCACACGCAAGAUCAUGGUGAUGCAUAGCAACGAGAGGGGAGAGUGUUGUCCACGUACCCUCGUAGACCGACAGCGGAAGCGUUAUCACAACGCGGUUGAUGUAGUCGUACGUCUUCACGAUCCGACCGAUCAAGUACCGAACGUACCGCACCUCCGAGUUCUACACACGUUCAGCUCGAUGACGUCCCUCGAACUCCGAUCCAGCCGAGUGUUGAGGGAGAGUUUCGUCAGCACGACGGCGUGGUGACGAUGGUGAUGUUCCACCGACGCAGGGCUUCGCCUAAGCUCCGCAACGGUAUUAUCGAGGUGUAAUAUGGUGGAGGGGGGCACCGCACACGGCUAAGAGAUCUCAAGGAUCAAUUGUUGUGUCUCUGGGGUGCCCCUGCCCCCGUAUAUAAAGGAGUAAGGGAGGAGGAGGCCGGCCCUAGGAGGGGGCGCACCAAGUGUGGAGUCCUACUAGGACUCCCUAGUCCUAGUAGGAUUCCACCUCCCAUAUGGAAUAGGAAAAGAGGAAGGGAAAAAGAGAAGGAAGGAAGGGAGCGCCCCCCUUCCCUAGUCCAAUUCGGACCAGACCAAGGGGAGGGGUGCGGCCACCCUUGAGGCCCUUUUCCUUCUUUCCCGUAUGGCCCAAUAAGGCCCAAUACGUAUUCCCGUAACUCUCCGGUACUCCGAAAAAUACCCGAAUCACUCGGAACCUUUCCGAAGUCCGAAUAUAGUCGUCCAAUAUAUCGAUCUUUACGUCUCGACCAUUUCGAGACUCCUCGUCAUGUCCCCGAUCUCAUCCGGGACUCCGAACUCCUUCGGUACAUCAAAACUCAAUAAAACUGUCUUCAUAACGUUAAGCGUGCGGACCCUACGGGUUCGAGAACUAUGUAGACAUGACCGAGACACGUCUCCGGUCAAUAACCAAUAGCGGGACCUGGAUGCCCAUAUUGGCUCCCACAUAUUCUACGAAGAUCUUUAUCGGUCAGACCGCAUAACAACAUACGUUGUUCCCUUUGUCACCGGUAUGUUACUUGCCCGAGAUUUGAUCGUCGGUAUCUCGAUACCUAGUUCAAUCUCGUUACCGGCAAGUCUCUUUACUCGUUCCGUAACACAUCGUCCCGCAACUAACUCAUUAGUCACAAUGCUUGCAAGGCUUAUAGUGAUGUGCAUUACCGAGUGGGCCCAGAGAUACCUCUCCGACAAUUGGAGUGACAAAUCCUAAUCUCGAAAUACGCCAACCCAACAAGUACCUUUGGAGACACCUGUAGAGCACCUUUAUAAUCACCCAUUUACGUUGUGACGUUUGGUAGCACACAAAGUGUUCCUCCGGUAAACGGGAGUUGCAUAAUCUCAUAGUCAUAGGAACAUGUAUAAGUCAUGAAGAAAGCAAUAGCAACAUACUAAACGAUCGAGUGCUAAGCUAACGGAAUGGGUCAAGUCAAUCACGUCAUUCUCCUAAUGAGGUGAUCUCGUUAAUCAAAUAAAACUUAUGUCCAUGGUUAGGAAACAUAACCAUCUUUGAUUAACGAGCUAGUCAAGUAGAGGCAUACUAGUGACACUCUGUUUGUCUAUAUAUUCACACAUGUAUUAUGUUUCCGGUUAAUACAAUUCUAGCAUGAACAAUAAACAUUUAUCAUGAUACAAGGAAAUAAAUAAUACUUUAUUAUUGCCUCUAGGGCAUAUUUCCUUCAGUCGGCAACAUAUCCGUCGGCGUAGCCAGGAAGGCCGUCGGCAUAGAAAGGCCGUCGGCAUAGGCCCUAUCCCGACGGUGUCCGUACAUCUAUGCCGACGGCCCUGGCCGUCGGCAACGUUAUCGCCUAACGACGGCCGCCGUCAAAUGCUGACCAACGCCUGCUCGCCACGUGGCAUGUCUAUGCCGACGGCGUCUACGCAUGCCUGAACACUUUCACAUAUGCAUCGGGACCCGUGCGAUGUUUCGGUGACAUUGCUACACCCCGAAUCCCCCCACUAACCAGAUUCCCUCCGUGUCGAGCGUUUCCCCCCUCCGUGACACGGCGACAGCGACGACGUUCGUAACGGGGGGCAAUCGAUAUACCAUCGGGGUAUGUAUUUUUAGAUAAGGCAUAAUUAUCUUAUGGAAAAACAAAAAAUAAUAUAAAGUAUAAAAAAAAUAAAAAAAAUGUAUGCCGACGGCAGCUGCGCACAGGGAGGUACACUCCCUCGGAUCGAUGACGCGGCAUCGCACACGGAUCGGUGACGUGGCAGAGGGGCAUGGACCAGGCCUAUGCCGACGGCUAUGCCGUAGGCAUAUCUCUGCCACACAACGCCCCCCCGGCUCGGAUCGAUGACGUGUCGACGAUACGGAUCGGUGAUGUCAGCAACUCUAUGCCGACGGCAUAGCCGUCGGCAUAGAUAUGCCGACGGCCGCCGUUACCUCCCGUCGGCGUAGGUUCAACGCCGUCAAACGGUCAGCGCUGACCCGGGUAGGUGGGCCUGGGCUAUGCCGACGGGCCCCGUAGGCGUAUCUCGAAGGGUCCCGACGGCCUCAUCUAUGCCGACGGCCCCGUCGGCGUAGAUAGACGUAUGCCGACGGCUUUUCUACGCCUACGACCUGUCCUAGGCCGUCGGGAUAGGUCUAUAUAUGCCGACGGGGGCCGUCGGCAACCCAAGUUUUUCUGGUAGUGCGGCGGGCGAGUGCAAGCGGCGGGGUCAAGUUGCUGUCAUUGAUUUGUGGGCCACUAGCGGACACGAGCGGAUGAGAGGGGGCGAGGAGAGCGUCCGCUUUUGUCCUUGCAGAUGCAUUGUGGCCCAAGUUUGGUCUGGGUCUAAGGUUGGGCUGAACCGAAACGGACAUCUGUGGACAACUUUGUCUGUUUGGGUACUCCUGUUGGGCCAGGUUUUGCCCCAAAGGGAUGAAACCGGACCGGAUGGGGUCUAACAUUGGAGUUGGCCUUACACCUUACAUAUAUCUUCUACUACUACCAGGAUGUGCUCUUGCCAUGUGUAGUGGUCAGGGAAAAAAAUAUCCUAACCUCCAAAAGAAAGAAUUCACAGGCCUCACGCCAGCACCGAAGCCUACACCGGUGCGACAUAGAAGAGGCCGCACGACCAAACUGCGAAAGAUCAAGAAUCUAUGCCAAUGUGCCAUCGGCACUGCUACAAGCGCUCCCGUUCGAGAUGAGGCGGCUCGAGGAAACUUUAUUCGUCGGCUGACCCUGUCAUCACCAUGCGCCCCAAGAAAAUAGGGGUAUCUUUGCCACCUUAUUUUUGUGUAAACUUUUAUUUUAGGAACGCAAAAUUUUCGGGAUGGUGUUUCACAUGGCUACACGGUAGCACGACUCGUUGCCAUCAUUUGAUCGGUGCGUAGGGACCAUGCGAUUCGAAGUGUGCCAAGUGCAUGGACAGAGUGAUCAGAAGAAGAGUGUGAUUGCUGAUUUACGACGCGCAGUGAUGAUGAGUCCAUUCCUAGGAGUGUCAGCUACUUUUUAAUUUCCCUCCUCUUUAUUGCAUCGCUCUCACCCCAAUCCCCAUUAAUUGUCUCCCCAUUACUAUACGACCAUCAAUGUUGUCUCCGGCAGGGGUUCAAGCCUAGUGCAUCCACCCAUUCAUCGAGACCGAUGUAAAAAACAAGACAUAGGUACAAAUUUUAGGACAUGGGGCGUACUUGUGUUUUGGAGCAGAGAUUGCUCCUCAAGGGAUGAGGAUGCUAGGAUUGUGGGGCUUAGGGUAAUUCGAGGAAGGCUAUGGUUUGCACGGGGUUGGGUUUGUGGUGGAUUUUUUGUGCACAAGCACGCGCGGGGUGGGGGGGGGGGUCAAGUGAUAGAGAGGUUGGAUUUAUGUUUGGUAAUUUGGAUCCGGAGGCAGGGUGGUGGGGAUUAGAUGAAUCUGGACAACACACACACGCGCGGUCGAACAACAUACAAUUGGCUCAAGUGUUUGUGGAUACGAGGGCCAGUUCUUAGAGGAGAUGGAAUAUUCCCUGAUGGUUUCAUCCAGCGAGACGAAUUAAGGAGCGGAGGUGGGUGGGAUUUGUUUUUAUUAUUGUUGUUGUUGUCAUAGGAGUUACUGGCUGGAAUUCGAGAUUUGUUUUGUAGUAUUUUAUAUUGGUUUGCGCCUUUGGUGGUCCCUUUGGCGCAUUCGAAUUUUGUCUUGUGAAUUAUAGGGCUAGGUUUCCUUGUUGAUAACAUACCAUUCAUUUUCAUGUGUCCUUUAUUGUUUCUUUAUCUAACCUAUUUGUAGUCUAGCAUGCUUAGGGAUUCGAUGCAUGGUCUUCUUUGUAGAUAAUACACUUUUCCAUCUCGAGGUGAUGUGAUUGCCAGUCAUUGUGAUGAUUUCACCAUUUGUGUUGAUAGCUUGUUAUCAGUCAUUGUGUGCUUUUCUUUAACACCGGUGUCUCUAUAGAUUGUAUUGUAAUUGUCAUGAUUAUUAUUAUGAAGUUUCCACAUUGAUAAGUUUUCUAACUUGUUCAAAUUUUCAUGUUAUGGAUUGUGUAGCUACAUAUCACUUACUCCUUUAGUAUUUUACCAUCUAUGCUUAUAGUUUUUGCCAUGUGCUUGUCAUGUUCAUCAGUUUUUCUUUUUCUUUUCUCAUCAAUUCUUGUUGGUUCCUACAAAUAGCAUGUUGUACCCCAUUAUGUUGCCACAACAAAAAAAUGUUUGUUUCACUCACCAACAUUGUGAUGUUAUGCUGAAAAAUUUAACACCUAUUUUUAUUUUAUUUUAUGGGUAAUGAUAUUUUUACUUACUAGCUUAUUACUAGACAAUAUAUUAUGUUUUUACCAAAUGUGCUUAUUAUGUUGAGGACACCUUCUAUCUUCUGUGCUGGUCUUGAUAAUACCAACUGUGUGUAGUCAACUCAACAUGAUAAUAUGCUUUCCUUCCUAUUAUACAAUUUGUGUGUGUGUGUGUGUGCGGUGGGGGGGGGGUUCAUGUAUAGACUCGAAUGUGUAGAUGCAAAAUUUAGGACAUGGGGCGUACUUGUGUUUUGGAGCAGAGAUUACUCCUCAAGGGAUGAGGCUGAGGAUGCUAGGCUUGUGGGAGGUAGGGCCAUUCGAAGAAGGCUAUGGUUUGCACGACGUUGGGUUUGUGGCGGAUUUUUUGCGCGCAAGUGCGGGAUCAAGUGAUAGAGAGGUUGGAUUUAUGUUUGGUCAUUUGGAGCCUAAGGUGGGUAGGGUGGUGGGGAGUUAAUGCAUCUAGAGAACACACACGCAAAGUUGAACAGCAUGGAGUUGGUUCAACCGUUUGUCGAUAAGAGGGUCACUUCUUGGAGGAGGUGGAAUCUUCCCCAAUGGUUUCUUCUAGCAGUGCGAAUAGAGGAGAAGAGGUGGGUGGGAUUUGGUGUUAUUCUUCUUAUUGUUGUUAUGGGAGUUACUGGCUGGAUGGCGAGAUUUUUUUUUGUAGUGCACUUGGUGUUUGAUAUUGGUCUCUGCCUUCGGUGGCCUUUUUGGCGCAUUGGAAUUUUGUUUUUCCAGUUAUGGGGCUAGGUUUCCUCGUUGAUUACAGACCUUUCAUUUUUAUGCGUCCUUCAUCAUUUUUUAUCUGAUCUGUUUGUAGUCUAGCAUGCAUACAUGCUUAGAGAUUUGAUGCACGAUUUUGUUUGUAGAUAAUACACUUUUCCAUCUCGAGGCGAUGUGAUUGCCGGUCGUUGUGAUGAUUUCACCAUUUGUGUUGAUAGGUUGUUAUCAUUCACCAUGUACUUUUCUUUAACGCCCGUGCUACUGUAGAUUGUAUUGUAAUUGUCAUGAUUAUUAUUAUGAAGUUCCACAUUGAUAAUGGACAUUGUCAUGUUAUGGAUUGUGUGGUUAUAUAUCAAUUACUCCUUUAGUACUUUAACAUCUAUGCUUAUAGUUUUAGCCAUCUGCCUGUAAUGUUCAUCCGUUUUUUCUCUUCAAUGCUUGUUGGCCCUACAAAUUGCAUGGUGUAUCCCAUUAUGUUGCCACAACAAAAAUUGUUUGUUUCACUCACCAACAAUGUGAGGUUAUGCUGAAAAUUUAUGACAUAUUUGUAUUUUCUUAGUGGUGAUGAUAUUUUUUACUUAUUAGACAAUAUGUUACAUUUUUACCAAACGUGCCUAUUAUGUUGAGCGCACCUCCUAUCUUCCCUGCUAGUCUUGACAAUACCAACUUGUGUCUAGUCAACUCAACAGGAUAAUAUGCUUUCCUUCCUAUUAUAGAAAUUUGUGUGUGUGUGNNNNNNNNNNNNNNNNNNNNNNNNNNNNNNNNNNNNNNNNNNNNNNNNNNNNNNNNNNNNNNNNNNNNNNNNNNNNNNNNNNNNNNNNNNNNNNNNNNNNNNNNNNNNNNNNNNNNNNNNNNNNNNNNNNNNNNNNNNNNNNNNNNNNNNNNNNNNNNNNNNAUAGACUCAAAAGUGCAGAUGCAAAUUUUAGGACAUGGGUCAUACUUGUGUUUUGGAGCAGAGAUUGCUCCUCAAGGGAUGGGGAUGCUAGGCUUGUAGGGUUUAGGGCCAUUCGAGGAAUGGUACGGUUUGCACAAUAUUGGGUUUGUGGUGGACUUUUUGCGCGCAAGUGGGGAUCGAGUGAUAGAGAGGUCGGAUUUAUGUUUGGUCAUUUGGAUCCUAAGGGGGCAGGGUGGUGGGGAGUUGAUGCAUGUGGACAACACACACACACGUAGUUGAACAACAUGCAAUUGGUUCAACUGUUUGUGGACACAAGUGACAUUUCUUGGAGGAGCUGGAAUCUUCCCUGAUGGUUUCUUCUAGCAGGUUGAAUUGAGGAAAGGAGGUGGGUGGGAUUUGUUGUUCUUCUUAUUGUUGUUGUUAUGGGAGUUACUGGCUGGAAUGCGAGAUUUGUUUUGGCGUGCACUUGAUGUUUGAUAUUGGUUUGUUCCUUUGGUGGUUGUUUUGGCGCAACGAAAUUUUGUUUUUUGAAUUAUGGGCAAGGUUUCCUGGUUGAUUACAUACAAUUCAUUUUUAUGUCUACUUCAUCGUUGCUUUAUUUGAUCUGUUUGUAGUCUAGCAUUGUGAGGUUAUGCUUAAAAUUUUGCCAGCUUUUUUAUGGGUGACGAUUUUUUUUCUUUCUAGACAAUAUGUUAUGUUUUUACCAAAUGUGCCUACUAUGUUGAGCACACUUCCUAUCUUCCCAACUAGUCUUGAAAAUACCAACUUGUGUCUACUCAAUUCAACAUGAUGAUAUGCUUUCCUUCCUAUUAUAGACAAUUUGGUGGUGGGGGUGGGGGGUGGGGGGGUUGUGUGGUUUGGCGCGUAUAGACUCGAAUGUGUAUAUGCACAUUUCAGGACAUGGGGCGCGCUUGUGUUUUGGAGAUGAGAUUGCUCCACAAGGCAUAUUGAUGCUAGGCUUAUGGGGUUAGGGCCAUUCGAGGAAGGCUAUGGUUUGCACGAUGUUGGGUUUUUGCCGGAUUUUUUGCGAGCGAGUUGGGGAUCAAGUGAUAGAGAGGGUGGAUUUAUGUUUGGUCAUUUGGAGCCUAAGGGGAGACAUGGUGGUGGGGAGUUGAUGCAUCUCGACAACACACACGCACAGUUGAACAUAUGCAAUUGGUUCAACUGUUCGUGCAUACGAGGGCCAGUUCUUUGAGGAAGUGGAAUCUUUCUUGAUGGUUUCUUCUAGCGGGACGAAUUGAGGAGAGGAGGUGGGUGGGAUUUGUUGUUAUUCUCAUGUUAUUUUUAUGGGAGAUACUGGCUGGAUAACGACAAUUGUUUUUGCAGUGCAUUUGGUGUUUUAUAUUUGUUUGUUCCUUUCGUGGUCCUUUUGGUGCAUUGGAAUUUUUUUUUGAAUUAUGGGGCUAGGUUUCCUGGUUGAUUACACACCAUUCAUUUUUAUGUGUGCUUCAUCGUUUCUUCGUCUGAUCUGUUUGUAGUCUAGUAUGCAUAGUACAUGCUUAGGGAUUUGAUGCAUUGUUUUUUUGUAGGUAAUACACUUUUCCAUCUCGGGUUGAUGUGAUUGCCAAUCAUUGUGAUGAUUUCAUCAUUUGUGUUGAUAGCUUGUAAUCAGCCACUAUGUGCUUUUCUUCAACACCCGUGCCGCUGUAGACUGUAUUGUACUCCCUUCGUAAAGAAAUAUAAGAGCGUUUAGAUCACUAAAGUAGUGAUCUAAAAGCUCCUAGAUUCCUUCAUAGAGGGAGUAAUUUUCAUGAUUAUUAUUACGAAAUUGCCACAUUGAUAAGUCUUUUAAGUCAUGGAAAUGCUCAUGUUAUCGAUUGUGUAGCUAUAUUAUCACUUACUCCUUUAGUCUUUUACCAUCUAUGUUUAUAGUUUUUGCCAUGUGCCUGUCAUGUUCAUUAGUUUUCUCUUCUUUGCCAGUUGGUUCCUACAAAUAUCAGGGUUCAUCCCAUUAUGAUUCCACAUCAAAAAAAGUCAGUUUCACCCACCAACACUGUGAGGUUAUGCUUUAAAAUUUACUACCUAUUUUAUGUCAAUUUUAUGGGUGUUGAUAUUUUUUUCUUACUAGAUAAUAUGUUAUGUUUUUUUAUCAAAUGUGCCUAUUAUGUUGAGCACACCUCCUAUGUUUCCAGCUAGUCUUGAAAAUACCAACUUAUGUCUACUCAACUUAGUAGGAUAACAUGCUUUCAUUCACAUUAUACAAAAGUAACUAGCUGCCAACGUCGAUAGUUGUGCAAACAUGUUCUGUUUGUGCAGUUUUAACGACAUGAUGAUAAAUCAAGGUUUGUGCACCGAUAUUGAUUACAUAUUUAAGUUUGGGCACAUAGAUUGUGAGUUCCUGGUCAGACGACGCUUAUCACAUAUGUGCACAUUUAAAAAUUUGCAUCUAGUAAAGUUACAUGGUGGGUUCCCCAUUUUACCUAUGCUUUAUGAUUCACCCUUAAUUUCUAUAUUAGCGAGAUAUGCCGAUGAAUUGGAUGACAUGAAAAAAUUUAGUCUUCUUUCUUCUAAGAUCAUCAAGAGGCAAAGAGUGAUGUAGAAGUGAUGAUGGCGCCGGGCAGGCAAGUGGCAAUGACAAGAGGGAGAUGCCAACUGCCAAGGACCGGGCACUUUGUACUUGAAUUUUGUCCAUCACAGUUAUGUGUGUUGAUGGACGAGGAUGACCUCUACAUGCAAGUCAUCCCAAGAGGGUUAAGGCACUGAUCAAGGGCUUGAUUCCCAGGUCUUUCAAGCUGAAGACAUGCGAAAGGUGCUCAUGGUUUGUGGAGUUUUGGAGAUUUGCAGGUGACCUUGUAUUUAACCAUGGAUAGCCUCAAUUUGCAGCAAUACAUGGCAAGUAAAAUGACAUGUUGGUCUUUAAGCUCAAGGGAGAGGCCCUGUUCGAGGUGAAGAUAUUUUACGCACAUACAUCCAUGGUGAGAGUGAUCAGUUGCCCCAAUCACCCUUAGCAACACCGAAUCGAUAUGUUUGUCGUAUGUCUUGCUACACACGUGUUAUUUGUUGUUCUUGAUAAUCAGGUGAUGUUAAUUGUGGAUUUUUGGACAAGGGGCAUGCAUAAAGAACCUCCAGCAAGAUGACAUUUUAGCUUGUUCAACACCUACAAUAUGACAACUUUCUUUAGUGACAUUAAAGUGCUUGUACAUUCCUAAGAAUUUGUUUGCAUCUAUGUGCCCACCUUUUUCGCGUGUGAUGGUUUGGAUAUGCUAUUCAUUUUUUACUAAAUUACAUUCCAUAACAUUAGUGAACAGUUUAGAAUUUUUUGCAUGAAAAAUUAUAUGAUUAUGCUAUGUAUAAAUGAUUUGAAUGUGUUUUACCUUUCUUUCUGCUCUUUAAGAUUUCGAGAAAGUAGAGACGAGGAGAGGUGUGGAUUAAGUGAUUUUCGAGGGGAGGUAUACUAUUCACGAACUUUUCUAUGGUAGUUUUUUUGCCAAAUUCCCACCAUGCAGUUGGUGAGGUAAAGCUAUUCCAUGGCAACUCAACACGUUCUGGUUUGGCAAGGGGGAGCGGGUAUCGGUAUCUUGCAUCGCUGUAGUGAAAAAGACAUGCACUGGCAGAGAGGUAAAUCUACAUGUCCCAUCUAGUGCUUGUGUGUGUCCGAUCGCUCGUUCAGAUUCCAUCUCGCGCACAUCAGACCGUCACACUAAAGACCUAUAGUGCAUAUGCUCGUGCGCUAUGCAUGCCCUUUUAAGAUUUAUAAUGUUUCGGAAUGGCAUUCAUCCACAAGUUAAUGAGUUACAUAAAUACAGUGCAUAUAUGCCAGGCUUGAUUUAAGUAUGUAUUUGAAUAUAUAUGCAACGCAUCUAUCAUCUAGUAUGUAUCAUUGCAUUCGUGGAUGAUGACCAUGUAUUGUCAAUUGUGAGGUCACUACAGCUAAAUAGUAUAUUGGUCAAACCUUCAUUGAGGAACGCAAAUUUAUUAUGUUGCCGUUUCACGUGGCUACACACUAGCAUGGCUCGUGGUCGUCCUUUUAAUUGGUGUGUAGGGACCAUGUGAUUCGCAGUGUGCCAAAUGGAAUGGACAGAGUUAUCGGAAGAAGAGCGAGAUUGUUGAUUUAUGACUCGUAGUGAUGACGAAUCCAUUCCUAGGAGGCAUUAGUUUCUUUCAUUUACUUUCCUCCUCUUCAUUGCAUCGCUCUCGCCCCAAUCCCAUUAUCUCUUCAUUACUUGGCGACCAUCGACGCCGUCUCCGGUAGGGAGUCGAGCCUAGUGCAUGCACCCAUUCAUCGAGACCGAGGUAAGAAACAAGAGCCCCUUUUCCUGAUGAUUCGAGUUGUUUUUUGGGGGUGGGGGUUGUUUGGUGUGGAUUGUAUAUAUUCGGAUGUGUAGAUGAAAAUUUUAGGACAUGUGGCGUACUUGUGUUUUGGAGCGGAGAUUGCUCCUCAAGGGAUGGGGAUGCUAGCCUUGUGGUGUUAGGGUCAUUCGAGGAAGGAUAUGGUUUGCAUGACAUUGGGUUUGUGUUGGAUUUUUGGCGCAUAAGUGGGGGAUCAAGUGAUAGAGAGGUUGGAUUUAUGUUUGGUCAUUUGGAUCCUAAGGGGGCAGGGUGGUGGGGAGUUGAUGCAUGUGGACAACACACACACGCAGUUGAACAACAUGCAAUUGGUUCAACUGUUUGUGGAUACAAGUGACAUUUCUUGGAGGAGCUGGAAUCUUCCCCAAUGGUUUCUUCUAGCAGGAUGAUUGAGGAGAGGAGGUGGGUGGGAUUUGUUGGUCUUCUUAUUGUUGUUGUUAUGGGAGUUACUGGCUGGAAUGCGAGAUUUGUUUUGGCGUGCAGUUGAUGUUUGAUGAUAUUGGUUUCUUCCUUUGGUGGUUACUUUGGCGCAAUGAAAUUUUACUUUUUGAAUUAUGGGCAAGGUUUCCUGGUUGAUUACAUACAAUUCAUUUUUUGUGUGGUUCAUCGUUGCUUUAUUUGAUCUGUUUGUAGUCUAGCAUUGUGAGGUUAUGCUUAAAAUUUUGCCACCUUUUUUUAUGUGUGACGUUUUUUUUUCUUACUACACAAUAUGUUAUGUGUUUACCAAAUGUGCCUAGUAUGUUGAGCGCACUUCCUAUCUUCCCUACUAGUCUUGCAAAUACCAACUUGUGUCUAGUCAACUCAACAUGAUGAUAUGCUUUCCUUCCUAUUAUAGACAAUUUGGUGGUGGGGAUGGGUUGUGUGGUGUGGCACGUAUAGACUCGAAUGUGUAUAUGAAGAUUUGAGGACAUGGGACGCGCUUGUGUUUUGGAGAUGAGAUUUCUCCACAAGGGAUAUUGAUGCUAGGCCUAUGGGGUUAGGGCCAUUAGAGGAAGGCUAUGGUUUGCACGAUGUUGGGGUUUUGCCGGAUUUUUUGCGAGCGAGUGGGGGAUGAAGUGAUAGAGAGGUUGGAUUUAUGUUUGGUCAUUUGGAGCCUAAGGGGAGACAUGGUGGUGGGGAGUUGAUGCAUCUCGACAACACACACGCACAGUUGAACAACAUGCAAUUGGUUCAACUGUUCGUGCAUACGAGGGCCAGUUCUUUGAGGAAGUGGAAUCUUUCUUGAUGGUUUCUUGUAGCGGGACUAAUUGAGGAGAGGAGGUGGGUGGGAUUUGUUCUUAUUCUCAUGUUAUUUUUAUGGGAGUUACUGGCUGGAUAUCGACAAUUGUUUUGCAGUGCAUUUGGUGUUUUAUAUUUGUUUAUUCCUUUCUUGGUCCUUUUGGUGCAUUGGAUUUUUUUUGAAUUAUGGGGCUAGGUUUCCUGGUUGAUUACACACCAUUUAUUUUUAUGUGUGCUUCAUCGUUUCUUCGUCUGAUCUGUUUGUAGUCUAGCAUGCAUAGUACAUGAUUAGGGACUUGAUGCAUGGUUUUGUUUGUAGGUAACACACUUUUCCAUCUCAGGGUGAUGUGAUUGCCAAUCGUUUUGAUGAUUUCAUCAUUUGUGUUGAUAGCUUUUAAUCAGCCACUAUGUCCUUUUGUUUAACACUCGUGCCGCUGUAGAUUGUUUUGUACUCCCUUCGUAAAGAAAUAUAAGAGCGUUUAGAUCACUAAAGUAGUGAUCUAAACGCUUCUAUAUUCCUUCAUAGAUGGAGUGAUUUUUAUGAUUAUUAUUACGAAGUUGCCACAUUGAUAAGUCUUUUAAGUCAUGGAAAUGGUCAUGUUAUCGAUUGUGUAGCUAUAUUAUCACUUACUCCUUUAGUCUUUUACCAUCUAUGUUUAUAGUUUUUGCCAUGUGCCUGUCAUGUUCAUCAGUUUUCUCUUCUUUCCCUGUUGGUUCCUACAAAUAUCAUGGUGCAUCCCAUUAUGUUUCCACAACAAAAAAAAUUUGUUUCACCCACCAACACUGUGAGGUUAUGCUUUAAAAUUUACUACCUAUUUUAUGUCAAUUUUUAUGGGUGUUGAUAUUUUUUCUUAGUAGAUAAUAUGUUAUGUUUUUAUCAAAUGUGCCGAUUAUGUUGAGCACACCUCCUAUGUUUCCAGCUAGUCUUGAAAUUACCAACUUGUGUUUACUCAACUCAGUAGGAUAACAUGCUUUCAUUCACAUUAUACAAAAGUAACUAGCUGCCAACGUCGAUAGUUGUGGAAACAUGUUAUGUUUGUGCUAUUUUAACGAAACAUCGAUAAAUCAAGGUUUGUGCACCGAUAUUGAUUACAUAUUUGAGUUUGGGCACACAGAUUGUGAGUUCUUGGUCAGACGACGCUUAUCACAUAUGUGAACAUUUAAAAAUGUGUAUCUAGUAAAGUUACAUGUUGGGUUCCCCACGUUACCUAUGCUUUAUGAUUCACAUUUAGUUUCUAUGUUAGCGACUAAUACGUCUGCAACGUAUCUAUAAUUUUUGAUUGUUCCAUAUUGUUAUCUUAUCAUUCUUGGAUGUUUUAUAAUCAUUUUAUAGCAACUUUAUAUCAUUUUUUGGGACUAACCUAUUGACAUAGUGCCAAGUGCCAGUUGCUGUUGUUUGCAUGUUUUUUU